GACGAACGCUGGCGGCGUACUUAACACAUGCAAGUCGAGCGGUAAGGCCCUUUCGGGGGUACACGAGCGGCGAACGGGUGAGUAACACGUGGGUGACCUGCCCUCAGCUCUGGGAUAAGCCUGGGAAACCGGGUCUAAUACUGGAUAUGACUCCAUGACGCAUGUUGUGGGGUGGAAAGCCUUGUGCGGCUGAGGAUGGGCCCGCGGCCUAUCAGCUUGUUGGUGGGGUGAUGGCCUACCAAGGCGACGACGGGUAGCCGGCCUGAGAGGGCGACCGGCCACACUGGGACUGAGACACGGCCCAGACUCCUACGGGAGGCAGCAGUGGGGAAUCUUGCGCAAUGGGCGAAAGCCUGACGCAGCGACGCCGCGUGAGGGAUGACGGCCU
rnacentral:rRNA from 1 species